AACGAACGCUGGCGGCAGGCUUAACACAUGCAAGUCGAGCGCCCCGCAAGGGGAGCGGCCGACGGGUGAGUAACGCGUGGGAACGUACCUUUUGGUUCGGAACAACUCCGGGAAACUGGAGCUAAUACCGGAUAAGCCCUAACGGGGAAAGAUUUAUCGCCGAAAGAUCGGCCCGCGUCUGAUUAGCUAGUUGGUGAGGUAACGGCUCGCCAAGGCGACGAUCAGUAGCUGGUCUGAGAGGAUGAUCAGCCACACUGGGACUGAGACACGGCCCAGACUCCUACGGGAGGCAGCAGUGGGGAAUAUUGGACAAUGGGCGCAAGCCUGAUCCAGCCAUGCCGCGUGAGUGAUGAAGGCCUUAGGGUUGUAAAGCUCUUUUGUCCGGGAAGAUAAUGACUGUACCGGAAGAAUAAGCCCCGGCUAACUUCGUG
rnacentral:rRNA from 1 species